rnacentral:rRNA from 1 species
AUUGAACGCUGGCGGCAGGCCUAACACAUGCAAGUCGAGCGAGCGGCGGACGGGUGAGUAAUGUAUGGGAAACUGCCCGAUGGCGGGGGAUAACUACUGGAAACGGUAGCUAAUACCGCAUACCAUCAGAUGAACCCAGAUGGGAUUAGCUUGUAGGUGGGGUAAUGGCUCACCUAGGCGACGAUCCCUAGCUGGUCUGAGAGGAUGACCAGCCACACUGGAACUGAGACACGGCCCAGACUCCUACGGGAGGCAGCAGUGGGGAAUAUUGCACAAUGGGCGCAAGCCUGAUGCAGCCAUGCCGCGUGUAUGAAGAAGGCCUUCGGGUUGUAAAGUACUUUCAGUCGGGAGGCGUUACCGGCAGAAGAAGCACCGGCUAACUCCGUGCCAGCAGCCGCGGUAAUUC